GGGUCAGUAGGUUGGUCGUGCCACCGGUACGUACUGGUCUCACUGAUUUAUCCUUCCUGAAGAACCGUAAUGCCAUUAAUUUGGUGUUGCGGGGAAACAGGACUGUUACUUUGAAAAAAUUAGAGUGUUUAAAGCAAGCUAACGCUUGAAUACAUUAGCAUGGAAUAAUGAAAUAGGACGAUCGAUCCUAUUUUGUUGGUUUCUAGGAUUGACGUA
rnacentral:rRNA from 1 species